rnacentral:lncRNA from 1 species
GUGUUUUAGUUCCAGAAGAUUCUGGUGUCAUUGUAGUUUGCACAGUCUCACUCUUCCUGCUUACUCACACUGACCCACUACUCCUUCCUUCAAGACUUCUGACUUUACCACGUGGUACAGCUCCGCCGACUGUCAUCCACAAUGUGGGCUGUCGUGCAACAAGGGCCUUCAGUUCUAUAGGGGACUCAGGACAUUGAAGACAAC